rnacentral:misc_RNA from 1 species
GAUGAAGAACGCAGCGAAAUGCGAUACGUAGUGUGAAUUGCAGAAUUCAGUGAAUCAUCGAAUCUUUGAACGCACAUUGCACCUCUCGGUAUUCCGGGAGGUAUGCCUGUUCGAGCAUCAUUUGUACCCUCAAGCUCUGCUUGGUGUUGGGUGUUUGUUCCGCCUCUGUGUGUGAACUCGCCUCAAAACAAUUGGCAGCCGGCGUACUUGUUUCGGAGCGCAGCACAUUUUGCGAUCCAGAUCAACGUACAGCGGCAUCCAAGAAGCCUUAUUUAACGCUCUUGACCUCGGAUCAGGUAGGGAUACCCGCUGAACUUAAGCAUAUCAAUAAGCGGAGGA